AUUGAACGCUGGCGGCAUGCUUUACACAUGCAAGUCGAACGGUAACAGGCCUUCGGGUGCUGACGAGUGCGAACGGGUGAGUAAUGCAUCGGAACGUACCCAGAGGUGGGGGAUAACGCAGCGAAAGCUGUGCUAAUACCGCAUGUGAUCUGAGGAUGAAAGCGGGGGACCGAGCAGCAAUGUUUGGCCUCGCGCCUUUGGAGCGGCCGAUGUCGGAUUAGCUAGUUGGUGGGGUAAAGGCCUACCAAGGCGACGAUCCGUAGCUGGUCUGAGAGGACGACCAGCCACACUGGGACUGAGACACGGCCCAGACUCCUACGGGAGGCAGCAGUGGGGAAUUUUGGACAAUGGGCGCAAGCCUGAUCCAGCAAUGCCGCGUGCGGGAAGAAGGCCUUCGGGUUGUAAACCGCUUUUGGCAGGAACGAAACGGUGUCCGCUAAUACCGGGCGCUAAUGACGGUACCUGCAGAAUAAGCACCGGCUAACUACGUG
rnacentral:rRNA from 1 species